UCGCCUGUUUUAACAAAAACAUGACCUGUUGAUUAUUUAUAUUAGGCCAGGCCUGCCCACUGAUAUUAAUUAAAGGGCCGCAGUAAUUUGACUGUGCGAAGGUAGCAUAAUCAUUUGUCUAUUAAUUGUAGGCUUGUAUGAAUGGUUUAAUGAAAUAUUAACUUUCUUUAUAUAGUAUUUAUGAACUUAAUUUUUAAGUUAAAAAGCUUAAAUGUUUAUGGAGGACGAGAAGACCCUAUAGAAUUUUAUCAUUAUUGAUUAUUGUUUAUUUGGUUAAUUUUAAAAUUAAUAAUAUGAUAAUGAUUUUGUUGGGGCGACAUGGAGAUUAAAUUAACUCUCUUUAUUUAUAUUUUAUUUAUUUAUAUAUAUAGGAUCCCUUUUUAAGGAUUAUAAGAUUAAAUUACCUUAGGGAUAACAGCGUAAU
rnacentral:rRNA from 1 species